rnacentral:rRNA from 1 species
GUAGAGGUGAGUAUGUAAGGCGGGCUGGACCUCUCGGGGUUACAGCCUUGCUGAAUUAUUCACCCUUGUCUUUUGCGUACUUCUUGUUUCCUUGGUGGGUUCGCCCACCACUAGGACAAACAUAAACCUUUUGUAAUUGCAAUCAGCGUCAGUAACAAAUUAAUAAUUACAACUUUCAACAACGGAUCUCUUGGUUCUGGCAUCGAUGAAGAACGCAGCGAAAUGCGAUAAGUAGUGUGAAUUGCAGAAUUCAGUGAAUCAUCGAAUCUUUGAACGCACAUUGCGCCCUUUGGUAUUCCAAAGGGCAUGCCUGUUCGAGCGUCAUUUGUACCCUCAAGCUUUGCUUGGUGUUGGGCGUCUUGUCUCUAGCUUUGCUGGAGACUCGCCUUAAAGUAAUUGGCAGCCGGCCUACUGGUUUCGGAGCGCAGCACAAGUCGCACUCUCUAUCAGCAAAGGUCUAGCAUCCACUAAGCCUUUUUUUCAACUUUUGACCUCGGAUCAGGUAGGGAUACCCGCUGAACUUAAGCAUAUCAAACGGGGGAGAAGAAAA